UGCCGGAUCGUUCAAUGGUAGGACAGCGGCCUUUGAAGCCGUGAAUCUAGGUUCGAAUCCUAGUCCGGCAGCCA
rnacentral:tRNA from 1 species